AGGAAAGGACCUUAGACUAGAAAUGAUGCCUUACUACAAGUGACAGCAUCUGGAAUCUGACACUAUGAAACUGGGGCCUAAAUUGCAAUGGUCAUCCCGCGUGGUAGAGAUACAGGGAAUACAGAACGCAUCCUAAGGAAAGCUGAACCCAGUGGAGCCAGCCCAAAGUGAUGCAGCGCCAUCCGGAUGCCACCUCCAUGAAGCCCGCAGGUCGGACUCACAGCAGAGGGACUGGUGUUUGCCUUGCAGCUUUUCUCUCAUUAAUAUUGCCUUUCCAUUCUCAUGCCCUCCCUACUUGAAAAGGGUAUGUUUGCCACCAGCUAUGGGAAGCACGUGACUCGAGCUUCACUUUCACGGUUGCUCGCGGCUAAGACGUAGCUCUGAGUUUCAGAAGAGACUCUGGAUUUGGAUUUCUGAAUGGCGUUGGGACUGUGACCUCAAGAAGACCUGGAUACCGCGAAAAGACCGUGUUUUACCAGAUUCACUGCACCAUUCGAAAUCUUCUGAGAUCAUAAAUAGUAAGUUGAAAAUAUAUUUGUGUUUCUG
rnacentral:lncRNA from 1 species